GGUCCGACUCGCACGCGCGGGCCCCGCGCUGGUACAGGGCUGCAGGUUUCCCAGAUGAUGGCAUCCGAGAACUUAAACAAAGAGGGUCGCCGCCGGCGCGCCGCUGCUGCACAAAGUUGCAGUGGCGGAUUUCCAAGAAGCUUGGCCACAGGAGCUCUGCGCGAGGCAAGCCUUCCUUUCCCACCUCCUGCAGGACGGAGAUGGGGGCCCGCGCGUGAAGGGAAGAGGAAACUUUGAAACCAGUGGGGACACAUCUGUCUAUAGAAUUGGAGAAAGGAAAUCUGCUUCGCAGACCUCAGACAAGGGCCACAACAAUAUGUACACUGCAAAUGGUUAUAUUAUACAUCACCUGACAACCUCACAUCAGAUAAAGGGGUCCUCACUCCGCACAGCAAGGAAGAAAAAAAUAUUCAUCAGUAAAGGAAGAAGCCUGCACAGAACCAUUUCUUCUCAUUCCUUAUAUGUACAAACAUGAAUAAUUUGACAUGAUGUUUAGACAGUUUUCACCUAACUUAAGUCUUUUAAUUAAAAUGAAAGGCAGAAAAUAUGCUUUAAAUAUGAAUGCGAGAGGUGUGAGUUGGCAUCCCCCAGCCUUCCUCCUCCUCUCUCUCUGUUGUUAGCGAGCACAAUGAGAUCUCAUUGCUCCCACCGUCUUUUCAU
ensembl:sense_overlapping Gm20646 predicted gene 20646